rnacentral:rRNA from 1 species
UACGGAGGGGGCAAGGCGUUGUUCAGAAUUACUGGGCGUAAAGGGCGCGCAGGCGGCUGCUCAAGUCAGGCGUGAAAGGCCUGGGCUCAACCCGGGAAUUGCGCUUGAGACUGGGCUGGCUUGAGUGCGGGAGAGGGAUGCGGAAUUCCAGGUGUAGCGGUGAAAUGCGUAGAUAUCUGGAGGAACACCGGUGGCGAAGGCGGCAUCCUGGACCGGCAUUGACGCUGAGGAGCGAAAAGCGUGGGGAGCAAACAGGG